rnacentral:lncRNA from 1 species
AAUGGAGAAGCCUACUCCUUCCUGCAACUUGGAUUCCUUCGAAAUUGGUUUUAGGACAGAUGAAGUGCAAAUUAAUAUGCAUAUACAAGAUAAAUUAUUACUUUCUCUUUUUUUUUAACCAAAAAGAAAAAGAAAGAAGAGUGUACCGUGUAUAAGCAUGAUAAAGAUAAAUUAUUACCAGUUUAAAGGAUUCCAAUGUGAUAAGUCGAGCUCAAUUUAAAGACCGGAUCAUGUGG